AGAUUUCAUCGGUAUGGGAUGGGGUCGCGUCCUAUCAGGUAGUCGGCGGGGUAACGGCCCACCGAGCCUACGACGGGUAGCCGGCCUGAGAGGGCGACCGGCCACAUUGGGACUGAGAUACGGCCCAGACUCCUACGGGAGGCAGCAGUGGGGAAUAUUGCACAAUGGGCGCAAGCCUGAUGCAGCGACGCCGCGUGCGGGAUGACGGCCUUCGGGUUGUAAACCGCUUUUGAUCGGGAGCAAGCCUUCGGGUGAGUGUACCUUUCGAAUAAGCACCGGCUAACUACGUGCCAGCAGCCGCGGUAAUACGUAGGGUGCAAGCGUUAUCCGGAAUUAUUGGGCGUAAAGGGCUCGUAGGCGGUUCGUCGCGUCCGGUGUGAAAGUCCAUCGCUUAACGGUGGAUCUGCGCCGGGUACGGGCGGGCUGGAGUGCGGUAGGGGAGACUGGAAUUCCCGGUGUAACGGUGG
rnacentral:rRNA from 1 species